rnacentral:rRNA from 1 species
UAAGGAAUAUUGGUCAAUGGACGGAAGUCUGAACCAGCCAUGCCGCGUGGAGGAUGAAGGCCCUCUGGGUUGUAAACUUCUUUUAUCUGGGACGAAACACUCUUUUUCUAAGGAGCUUGACGGUACCAGGUGAAUAAGCACCGGCUAACUCCGUGCCAGCAGCCGCGGUAAUACGGAGGGUGCAAGCGUUAUCCGGAUUCACUGGGUUUAAAGGGUGCGUAGGCGGGCAUGUAAGUCUGUGGUGAAAUCUCCAAGCUUAACUUGGAAACUGCCAUGGAUACUAUAUGUCUUGAAUGUUGUGGAGGUUAGCGGAAUAUGUCAUGUAGCGGUGAAAUGCAUAGAUAUGACAUAGAACACCAAUUGCGAAGGCAGCUGGCUACACAAAUAUUGACGCUGAGGCACGAAAGCGUGGGGAUCAAACA